AUUCUUGUUGAAAUAAUAUUUAAUUAAUGUUGUUAUGUAACAGUCUAAACAGAAAGUUGUAGCCACAAAUUAUAUAUUUAUAUAAACUUCCCUUAGCCUGUGCAAUGAAUUCAAGCUAAAAACUAUAAUGAGACAUUCAAACAAGGGGCUUCAGGGACAGCACAGCAAUUGAAGAGAAGCUGAUUUUAAACUUGCUUUAAGAUUCUAUAAACUGGGCAGCUGUGUUAAUUCAAUAAAACACAUUUUUUUAACUCACAUAAUAAAAAAAAACAUAUAUCCAAGAGUUCACUUGCAUACUAUCUGCAUACACACAUUUGCAAAGUCAACACACACACACAGAAAUGUAUGACGCUGGUGGCUUAGGGGCAAAAAAACCCCACAUUAAUUGUUAAAAAAAAAUCUAAAGACAAUGUAUUGAGAUUUAUUUCACAAUAAAACCAGUUUUUCAACAAAAGAAAAAAAAAAGGGGGGGGGGGGGGCAG